rnacentral:tRNA from 1 species
GCCGAGGUGGUGAAAUUGGUAGACACGCUACCUUGAGGUGGUAGUGCCCGAUGGGGCUUACGGGUUCAAGUCCCGUCCUCGGCA